AGUGAACGCUGGCGGUAGGCCUAACACAUGCAAGUCGAACGGCAGCACAGUAAGAGCUCGCUCUUACGGGUGGCGAGUGGCGGACGGGUGAGGAAUACAUCGGAAUCUACUUUUUCGUGGGGGAUAACGUAGGGAAACUUACGCUAAUACCGCAUACGACCUACGGGUGAAAGCAGGGGAUCUUCGGACCUUGCGCGAUUGAAUGAGCCGAUGUCGGAUUAGCUAGUUGGCGGGGUAAAGGCCCACCAAGGCGACGAUCCGUAGCUGGUCUGAGAGGAUGAUCAGCCACACUGGAACUGAGACACGGUCCAGACUCCUACGGGAGGCAGCAGUGGGGAAUAUUGGACAAUGGGCGCAAGCCUGAUCCAGCCAUACCGCGUGAGUGAAGAAGGCCUUCGGGUUGUAAAGCCCUUUUGUUGGGAAAGAAAAGCAGCAGGUUAAUACCCCGCUGUUCUGACGGUACCCAAAGAAUAAGCACCGGCUAACUUCGUG
rnacentral:rRNA from 1 species